UUUUGGCUCAGAUUGAACGCUGGCGGCAGGCCUAACACAUGCAAGUCGAGCGGCAGCACGGGUACUUGUACCUGGUGGCGAGCGGCGGACGGGUGAGUAAUGCCUAGGAAUCUGCCUGGUAGUGGGGGAUAACGCUCGGAAACGGACGCUAAUACCGCAUACGUCCUACGGGAGAAAGCAGGGGACCUUCGGGCCUUGCGCUAUCAGAUGAGCCUAGGUCGGAUUAGCUAGUUGGUGAGGUAAUGGCUCACCAAGGCGACGAUCCGUAACUGGUCUGAGAGGAUGAUCAGUCACACUGGAACUGAGACACGGUCCAGACUCCUACGGGAGGCAGCAGUGGGGAAUAUUGGACAAUGGGCGAAAGCCUGAUCCAGCCAUGCCGCGUGUGUGAAGAAGGUCUUCGGAUUGUAAAGCACUUUAAGUUGGGAGGAAGGGCAGUUACCUAAUACGUGAUUGUUUUGACGUUACCGACAGAAUAAGCACCGGCUAACUCUGUGCCAGCAGCCGCGGUAAUACAGAGGGUGCAAGCGUUAAUCGGAAUUACUGGGCGUAAAGCGCGCGUAGGUGGUUUGUUAAGUUGAAUGUGAAAUCCCCGGGCUCAACCUGGGAACUGCAUCCAAAACUGGCAAGCUAGAGUAUGGUAGAGGGUGGUGGAAUUUCCUGUGUAGCGGUGAAAUGCGUAGAUAUAGGA
rnacentral:rRNA from 1 species